rnacentral:rRNA from 1 species
GGGGGGGGGGGGGGGGGGGGCGGGGGGGGGGGGGUGGGGGGGGUGGAGGGAGGUGGGUGCUGGAUUCAGCGGCGGGCGGGUGCGUAAUGGCUAGGGAUGGGACUGGUAGUGGGGGAUAGCGGAGGGAAGCGGUGGAGAAUACCGGAUACGUCCUGGGGGAGAGGGUGGGGGAUCUUGUGGCGUCAGGCUGACAGAUGCGGCUAGGUCGGUUUGGACAGUGUGUGGGGUAAAGGCCUACCCAGGCGACGAUCCGUAAAUGGUCUGAGAGGAUGAUCAGUCACACUGGAACUGAGACACGGUCCAGACUCCUACGGGAGGCAGCAGUGGGGAAUAUUGGACAAUGGGCGAAAGCCUGAUCCAGCCAUGCCGCGUGUGUGAAGAAGGUCUUCGGAUUGUAAAGCACUUUAAGUUGGGAGGAAGGGCAGUAAGUUAAUACCUUGCUGUUUUGACGUUACCAACAGAAUAAGCACCGGCUAACUUCGUG